rnacentral:misc_RNA from 1 species
AACGCACAUUGCGCUUCCUGGUAUUCCGGGGAGCAUGCCCGUUUCAGAAUCAUUAAAAUCUCACCGCAGUGGAGCUUUUCGGAGCUCCGCUUUUGAGUGGAUUUGGAUGCUUUGUUUCGACAAUCGUCUUAAAAUGAUAGUGUGUGCAUCCAUCGACUAUUCCUUGGGUUACCAAAGUGCAACAGAUUUUUCUAUUUCGCUUUGACAGCUCUUGGGGUUGGACGGAAGCAUAUACCCAACUUCUUAACAACUGUUUUGCCCUUGGGUAAAACAUUUGAUAACUUGGUCUGAAAUCGGGCAAGAAAACCCGCUGAACUUAA